rnacentral:tRNA from 1 species
GCGGAAGUGGCGAAAUUGGUAGACGCACCAGAUUUAGGUUCUGGCGCCGCGAGGCGUAAGAGUUCAAGUCUCUUCUGCU